UACGGAGGGUGCAAGCGUUAUCCGGAUUCACUGGGUUUAAAGGGCUCGUAGGCGGCCCUCUCAGUCGGAUGUGAAAUCCCCAGGCUUAACCUGGGAAUGGCAUCCGAUACUGGAGGGCUUGAAUUCGGGAGAGGGAUGCAGAAUUCCAGGUGUAGCGGUGAAAUGCGUAGAUAUCUGGAGGAAUACCGGUGGCGAAGGCGGCAUCCUGGACCGGAACUGACGCUGAGGCGCGAAAGCUAGGGGAGCAAACGGG
rnacentral:rRNA from 1 species